UACGUAGGGGGCAAGCGUUGUCCGGAUUUAUUGGGCGUAAAGAGCGUGUAGGCGGCUUUACAGGUCCGUUGUGAAAACUCGAGGCUCAACCUCGAGACGCCGGCGGAAACCGUAAAGCUAGAGUCCGGAAGAGGAGAGUGGAAUUCCUGGUGUAGCGGUGAAAUGCGCAGAUAUCAGGAAGAACACCCGUGGCGAAGGCGGCUCUCUGGGACGGUACUGACGCUGAGACGCGAAAGCGUGGGGAGCGAACAGG
rnacentral:rRNA from 1 species